rnacentral:tRNA from 1 species
UAAGAAAUAAACUAAAAAGGUUAUUGGACUCAUGUUCCAAAUGUGAGAUAAUCUCUCUUUCUUAUA